rnacentral:snoRNA from 1 species
AGGCGGUGUCCGGAUACUCUCUGCGGACACAAUGAUGUUUAUUAUUUUUCGUCUCUGAAAUUGACUAAUGUCAAUUAUAUUUGUGGAUCAUCACUACUGAGUUU